CAGCAGAAACGGCAGCCACCACGCCUGAAUUCGUAGGGUCUUAUUGGCGACCAUGGGGCACGCUCUAUUUAGUCCCAUCUUCCACGCGGUUCUUCCUCACCCCUGCGUAUCCCGACAACUGCCAGAUUCCAGGAGCCAUUCCAAGUUCGAACGCAGCAGCAGCAAGCGGAAUUAUGUCGGAUUUCUGUGUGAAUUGAUUUCAUCCAUAUCAGCGAACUCUCUCUGACGUAUGGAUAGUGGGGAAAGUUCUUCCCGUCUACCACUACAACGUGGGCUUCCACGAGGUCGACACGGCCGUCGUCAGCGCACAACAUCGCCUGAUCCAGUGCCUGCUCCAACUCGGGCGGCGGCUGCUGGAUCUCGCUAUAGGCGCAGGCUAGCAAAUGCAUCUGGGGCUUCUUCUUCGUCCAUUGAACAAAAUAUGAACACAGCAAGCUCAUCUAUGGCACAAAAUGUUUUUGUUCAGCUCUGGCUCUGUCACAAGCCCAACCCGGCAUCAUCGACGUAAGCUUUAAUAUUCCUAGCCUUUGUGAGCUGCAAUCAGAAAAAAAAAACUAAUUCACUUUGUUGUAUUCUUAUACUCCUUCAAGAACAAUCUUUACACCUUUAUAUCUUGGAGGCCCUCAGCAUAUUGUGUGCAUUGCCAUUCUUUCUAAUAGUGUAAAACUGUCCUUUGAAAUAAUGUUGUAUUUGAAUAACAUUAUCUACAGAUAGAUUCAUGGUUCUAGCUACUGUACCAGAUCCGGCAACACCCCCUGUCCCCAGACCCCCUUCUAAAUCCACUACACCAUCCGUAUUGAUUUUAAUCCACAAGUGUUCUGGUCGCUGCCACUUCUUCUCGAUGACAACAGAAAUAAUGGCUUUCUCAUUGGAAGGGAUCUCCAGAAAUUUACUCAACUCAUUAACCAAAUCCAUAGAAAUAUAAUCAUGAUGUGAAUGUUGUAUUCAGCCUACUAGACUGUGUUGCAUGUUAUCAUGUAUUGAGUCCUGACUGAACUAUCCCUUCUCUCAUGUGUCCCUUUGGAUCUGUAACCCUAGCUAGCUGGUAGUGUAAUUAGUUUGUUUGUUCAUGGAACUGAUUUUCGCCACUUCAUCUCUGCUUCGUGAUAUUCAUUGUCCUGGAUUUGAUGAUGACUUUC